rnacentral:rRNA from 1 species
GCAUGCCCCCAUCCAUCAGGACGAACGCUGGCGGCGUGCCUAAUACAUGCAAGUCGAGCGGACAGAUGGGAGCUUGCUCCCUGAUGUUAGCGGCGGACGGGUGAGUAACACGUGGGUAACCUGCCUGUAAGACUGGGAUAACUCCGGGAAACCGGGGCCCAUACCGGAUGGUUGUCUGAACCGCAUGGUUCAGACAUAAAAGGUGGCUUCGGCUACCACUUACAGAUGGACCCGCGGCGCAUUAGCUAGUUGGUGAGGUAACGGCUCACCAAGGCGACGAUGCGUAGCCGACCUGAGAGGGUGAUCGGCCACACUGGGACUGAGACACGGCCCAGACUCCUACGGGAGGCAGCAGUAGGGUUCCAAGGGCAAUGGACGAAGUUCUGACGGAGCAACGCCGCGUGAGUGAUGAAGGUUUUCGGAUCGUAAAGCUCUGUUGUUAGGGAAGAACAAGUGCCGUUCAAAUAGGGCGGCACCUUGACGGUACCUAACCAGAAAGCCACGGCUAACUACGUGCCAGCAGCCGCGGUAAUACGUAGGUGGCAAGCGUUGUCCGGAAUUAUUGGGCGUAAAGGGCUCGCAGGCGGUUUCUUAAGUCUGAUGUGAAAGCCCCCCCCUCAACCGGGGAGGGUCAUUGGAAACUGGGGAACUUGAGUGCAGAAGAGGAGAGUGGAAUUCCACGUGUAGCGGUGAAAUGCGUAGAGAUGUGGAGGAAAUUCA